rnacentral:lncRNA from 12 species
GUUGGUUUUAGGGCGUACACACCUCUGUGUGCUAAUGAACAGAGCAGGCUGAGGCAAGUAAGUGCACAGGCAGCUCUGGAAGCCGCUAGCAAGAAAUGCACCGUGGUGUGUGUGUGUGAAGUGGCCACCACACGCUCCCCGUGCCCCUUUGAUGCCGGGAAGGAAUGCUCUGCUUUCCGAACCGAAGGCGCUCUGUUUUGCCUGUGGGCUGUGCGGAAAUUUGAGAAGGUGGAAGCAAGAAGCGACUUGUUCUGUCAGGGAGGAAAAGCAGUGUGCAGCUGUUUACACUGCACACUCUGGCUUUUAACAAGGUGUCCCCGGUGCCUGCAAUGUUAAACCCCACCUUUCUUUCCGCAGGGCUGCUGCUUGCCCUGCUGUGCCGCCCGCUAGCAGGCGGCUUUUGCCCCCGUCCAUUGCAACAAGUUGAUACGGGGUGGUUUGGAUCCGGUGACUCUUGUGUGAGGUCCCACUGUGUUUUUUGCAGCCUUGCAAGGCUCUUUGUUCUGCUCCAGCGGUCUCUCCGAGGCGUGGCGAGGGAAGCUGUUUCCUGUUGCUGUGUCCAUGAUGGACGCAGAGCCGCUUUUACCGCACGUGAGCCCCCGGAGGUUUUGUUCCUCCUUUCUCCAACACUUUCUGGGUCAUGUUUUCCGCAUUCGGUCUCAACCCACAGUCCUUUUCUCAGAAAACUUAAGAGAGUCACCCCAGCUAUAUUUCCAUGGCAUUUGAGAUCUGAAGAGUCCUGUGAAAUAGUUUCUGCAGGCAGCAG